UUUCCGAUUCGAGGCUUCCCUUCUCACGAUGCAACAAGAUGAGUCUCUGUCCAAGAGGGCACACGAUGCCCCUGAGACCCAUUACAUCACUUCACAUGCUUGAUUAGGUUUUGGGACCUAUCCCUCAAUCAUGGAAUCACAGAUCCGCGGGAAAUCGGUAAGGGACCAAAUCCCUCAUAUUGAUAUUUACGUUUCUUUUAUUGCAUGCUAUUCUUGAUUGAUGAGAUGCAUAUAAAAAACGUAUGCGGGUUGAUGUUAAUCUGGAAAUGAAUUGUAUUAUUUUGGUUUAAGGUCACUGCGAUGCAUUGCUUCCAUUAUUAUCGUUUUAACGAUCUACCUCAUUUUUUGUUUAAUCGCAUUCUGAUUUAAUUACACAAACCUAUGUGCAUUAUUAAAAUGAUGAUGUACAGUCUUGUUUGAUUACUAUUUUAGUUUCGAACUAUUGAUAAUCAGCUGUAACAUGUCAGACAAACGUAACCCAGGAGGCAGGGACAAAUGGUUAGGCAAGAGGUUCCGUAAGGACACAUGGGCAGGUCACUUUAAUAUUUGGGUGUGCCAAUAGUGUCGCAUAAGGCUAUUACAACCAAGAGGAGACAUUAUACCAUAAAAUAUAUGUUGUAUGCUGAUUUUUUAAGUGCAGGAACAGUAAAAAAAUAAUGACAUUAACACACCAAUCCAUUAAAAUUAUGAAGUCGAAUAUGGAUUUUAAUACUAACCUUAGGUAGCAAUUCGAUUUGGCUGAAUCGUUUUACCGUAUUAUCUCUGAAUUAUCCCUCUGAUUCUGCUGAGCAACGUCUCCGUGUGUAUCUAUUCCUGAAUUUAUGUGAUGCACGUGUUAUAUGAUUUCUGCCUACUUCAGCAUAUUACAUAUUCUCUGAGUUGUUAUGUGUAUAUGCAAGGAUUGCUCUCUAGUUGUUAUAUGGAGUGUAUGGUUGUGGUAUGCUGAUUUCACAAUAUAUGUGUGAUAUGUAUGUGUUCUCCUCUCUGACUGUGUAUGAUAGCUUGUUCUUGCUGAUUGUUCCUCUUUUUUUUGGCCCCCUCUCCCCUGAUUAUUUCUGCCCUUUUAAAUGCUUUAGGUUUCUAUGUGAAAACCUCUUGGGUUGCUCCUUAAAAUUCAGUAACGUACAUGGCUUUUUGCUCUCUGUUUUACUGCAUUAAGGUUUCUCAUGAAUGCUGCCAUUUAAGGUUUCUCAUGAAUGCUGCCAUUUGUGCUGAUUAUGACUGUGUGUAUGUGUAACUGCAAGGGACAUAUCCUCUGGUUUACCACCGCUUCUUUCAUGCAUAACCUUUGGAUGUUUGCUAUUGAUAUUUUGCACUUAUGUUGAAUGUGUAACUGAAGGGAAAGAUACUAAUAGCAAUAAUUCCUGUUUGCAUCUCUUCAUUGCCAUCUUUUACAAUUCUAUUGAUUAUGAUUCUCGGCUGAAUCAUUUUGCUCUCCUUUUUUACAUUUAAUAAUGACUCGAAAUGUAACAGCCUGCAGUGGUAGAGUAUAUACUUUAUCUGACAUUUGGUUUCCCUUGAUAUCAGGUUCUGAACGUGGCUAAUAAAGAGCCAUGCUCUUGGUAAUUUGAAGUGUUGUUGAAGGUACACCACGUGCUGCUGAUGAAUUGAGGAUUUUACUCAAAGCAUGAUUAGGACCUGGCUCCCAUUG
rnacentral:lncRNA from 1 species